GCCUGGGGAGAGGAAUAUACUGUUGCUAAUAUAUGCCCCACGAGAGAUUUAUCUACUGUUUGAUGUGAAUCCACAGGCUGGGGAGAGGAAUAUACUGCUGCUAAUAUAUGCCCCACGAGAGAUUUAUCUACUGUUUGAUGUGAAUCCCCAGAGCGAUGGUGGCCAGUCCAUGUUGGGCUUGAAUAAACCUCUGGUGAAUGAA